GCCCAGACUCCUACGGGAGGCAGCAGUGGGGGAUAUUGCACAAUGGGGGGAACCCUGAUGCAGCGACGCCGCGUGGGUGAAGGAGUGCUUCGGCAUGUAAAGCCCUAUCGGCAGGGAAGAAGCAAGACGGUACCUGACUAAGAAGCCCCGGCUAACUACGUGCCAGCAGCCGCGGUAAUACGUAGGGGGCAAGCGUUAUCCGGAUUUACUGGGUGUAAAGGGAGCGUAGACGGCAUGGCAAGUCAGAUGUGAAAGCCCGGGGCUCAACCCCGGGACUGCAUUUGAAACUGUUGGUCUUGAGUAUCGGAGAGGCAGGCGGAAUUCCUAGUGUAGCGGUGAAAUGCGUAGAUAUUAGGAGGAACACCAGUGGCGAAGGCGGCCUGCUGGACGACAACUGACGGUGAGGCGCGAAAGCGUGGGGAGCAAACAGGAUUAGAUACCCUCGUACU
rnacentral:rRNA from 1 species